UACAGAGGUCUCAAGCGUUGUUCGGAUUCAUUGGGCGUAAAGGGUGCGUAGGCGGCGCGGUAAGUCGGGUGUGAAAUCUCGGAGCUUAACUCCGAAACUGCAUUCGAUACUGCCGUGCUUGAGGACUGGAGAGGAGACUGGAAUUUACGGUGUAGCGGUGAAAUGCGUAGAUAUCGUAAGGAAGACCAGUGGCGAAGGCGGGUCUCUGGACAGUUCCUGACGCUGAUGAACGAAAGCCAGGGGAGCAAACGGG
rnacentral:rRNA from 1 species